CUUCGAGUGAGUGCAUAUUUGCACAAGUUUUCCUUGUGUGUGUGCAGCAUCGUUGCCGACUCCGAAAUAUAAAAAUAGUGAAUUUCGUUGUUGGGCACUUGGAUUCAUAUUAAAAAAUAAGUGCCCGGGUUUAUAAUCUCUGUAGUGCGAAAGAUGUGUUAGCGUCUCUAUCAGAUUCGGAAGCGGAGCAUUUUUCUGGGGACAGUGACGAUGGAAGUUUAUUUGAAGUAUCUGAUAAUCAAAAUAAAAUGUUUUCAAAUUCUUCAUAAGGUGCCUAUACUGCAUGCGCAGAAUAUGUGACGACCAUCGUGCAUCUGUAUCCAUUGAAUGCGAGCGUUUUGCCGAAAACUAAGUAUUUCCUUGUAUGUUUUAAGCAUUGACAUAAUUUUCAUGAUAAAUAAAUGGUUUUAUGGAA